GUUUCAGCCGUUGUAAUCUUAGUGAUUGUUAUAGAAGUGUCAAGCAAUUGCUGUAAGGCCAGCGGUAUAUUAAAAUCUACAAAAAACCUUCAUUAGACUGUUGUUUGUUGUAGAGUAUUUGGCAAACAAUUUAAUUGAGGUUUUAUAUUUCAAAAACAAAAUGAAAC